rnacentral:misc_RNA from 1 species
UACGGAGGAUGCGAGCGUUAUCCGGAUUUAUUGGGUUUAAAGGGUGCGUAGGCGGGUUAUUAAGUCAGUUGUGAAAGUUUGCGGCUCAACCGUAAAAUUGCAGUUGAUACUGGUAGCCUUGAGUACAGUAGAGGUGGGCGGAAUUCGUGGUGUAGCGGUGAAAUGCUUAGAUAUCACGAAGAACUCCAAUUGCGAAGGCAGCUUGCUGGACUGUAACUGACGCUGAUGCACGAAAGUGUGGGUAUCAAACAGG